rnacentral:rRNA from 1 species
UUAGAGUUUGAUCCUGGCUCAGGAUGAACGCUAGCGACAGGCUUAACACAUGCAAGUCGAGGGGCAGCGGGUAGAUGAGCUUGCUCAUUUAUGCCGGCGACCGGCGCACGGGUGAGUAACACGUAUGCAACCUGCCCGUCUCAGGGGGAUAAUCGUCGGAAACGGCGUCUAAUACCCCGUAUGAAGCUGGACGGCAUCGUCUGGUUUUGAAAGAAUAUCGGAGACGGAUGGGCAUGCGGCGCAUUAGCUGGUUGGCGGGGUAACGGCCCACCAAGGCGACGAUGCGUAGGGGUUCUGAGAGGAAGGUCCCCCACACUGGUACUGAGACACGGACCAAACUCCUACGGGAGGCAGCAGUGAGGAAUAUUGGUCAAUGGACGCAAGUCUGAACCAGCCAUGCCGCGUGCAGGAAGACGGCUCUAUGAGUUGUAAACUGCUUUUGUACGAGGGUAAACUCGGGUACGUGUACCCGACUGAAAGUAUCGUACGAAUAAGGAUCGGCUAACUCCGUGCCAGCAGCCGCGGUAAUACGGAGGAUUCAAGCGUUAUCCGGAUUUAUUGGGUUUAAAGGGUGCGUAGGCGGUCGGAUAAGUUAGAGGUGAAAUCCCGGGGCUCAACUCCGGAAUUGCCUCUGAUACUGUUCGGCUAGAGAGUAGUUGCGGUAGGCGGAAUGUAUGGUGUAGCGGUGAAAUGCUUAGAGAUCAUACAGAACACCGAUUGCGAAGGCAGCUUACCAAGCUACAUCUGACGUUGAGGCACGAAAGCGUGGGGAGCAAACAGGAUUAGAUACCCUGGUAGUCCACGCAGUAAACGAUGAUAACUCGUUGUCGGCGAUACAAUGUCGGUGACUAAGCGAAAGCGAUAAGUUAUCCACCUGGGGAGUACGUUCGCAAGAAUGAAACUCAAAGGAAUUGACGGGGGCCCGCACAAGCGGAGGAACAUGUGGUUUAAUUCGAUGAUACGCGAGGAACCUUACCCGGGCUUGAAAGUUACUGACGCUUCUGGAAACAGGAGUUCCCUUCGGGGCAGGAAACUAGGUGCUGCAUGGUUGUCGUCAGCUCGUGCCGUGAGGUGUCGGGUUAAGUCCCAUAACGAGCGCAACCCCUACCGUUAGUUGCCAUCAGGUAAAGCUGGGCACUCUGGCGGGACUGCCGGUGUAAGCCGAGAGGAAGGUGGGGAUGACGUCAAAUCAGCACGGCCCUUACGUCCGGGGCUACACACGUGUUACAAUGGCAGGUACAGAGGGCAGCUACCUCGUGAGAGGAUGCGAAUCUCGAAAGCCUGUCUCAGUUCGGAUUGGAGGCUGAAACCCGCCUCCAUGAAGUUGGAUUCGCUAGUAAUCGCGCAUCAGCCAUGGCGCGGUGAAUACGUUCCCGGGCCUUGCACACACCGCCCGUCA